rnacentral:lncRNA from 1 species
AAGCUCAAUGCUGAGUCUAUAGCACUGGGCCUUAUACAGUACUUUGAGACUUCAGCCAUAACAAAAAGUUUGGGGAAUAAACUGUUGCACCCACUAACUUAUUACUAGGAAGAAAACAGAAACACUUCAAACAAAUGGCUAUUAACCCAGUCAUGCAUGAAUGAGCUGGACACCAGCAGGCUGAAGCUCCUGGCUCUGCUGUCACAUAGGGAACAGCGAAGGGUGCAGACUUCAGAGGCAGACAAGCCUGCCCAGGAAUCCCAGCUGUACCCCUGAGCUGCAGAUCUGCAGGAGGACUUAUGAAGGCACAGAAUGGGGUGAGAGGUGAGAAGAACCUGUCGUGAAGAAAGUGAGGCCUCCUGUGAGGCAGACGCACUGAAGGGCGCGCUCCUGGUCCUGUCUGCACUGUCUCGGUGUCGAGCUCCUGUCUGGUCUACUCACUUUGUAAGACCAAACUCACUCCACCUCCUCAGAUGGCCUGCCACCUCCUUCUUAAAGGCUGGCAUGGGGCCGGGGCCGGGCCGGACUAGCAGUCAGCACAGAGCAGAGACACCUGAGUCCAGAGACAGGAAUUGUGGGAGGACCCAUCACCCAUGCAAAGUUCAAAACAUGACAGAUACACUUCCUCCCUGUGGUGAGGCAGGUCCUGGG